UACGGAGGGAGCUAGCGUUGUUCGGAAUUACUGGGCGUAAAGCGCACGUAGGCGGCUUUUUAAGUCAGGGGUGAAAUCCUGGAGCUCAACUCCAGAACUGCCUUUGAUACUGGGAAGCUCGAGUCCGGGAGAGGUGAGUGGAACUCGAGUGUAGAGGUGAAAUUCGUAGAUAUUCGCAAGAACACCAGUGGCGAAGGCGGCUCACUGGCCCGAUACUGACGCUGAGCACGAAAGCGUGGGUAGCGAAUGGG
rnacentral:rRNA from 1 species